ACCUUUAGAAAGCUUAUGGCUUUUUCUCUUUCACUUCUUCAGUUCAGAAGUCAUGGAGGACAAUACAACUCUUGCUAAAUCAUGUCCAGUAAUGGAACUUUUUGGGACUGCAAUUACAGCAUGUAUGGUUCAUUCCUCUUCAUUUAUUUUCUUGCUUCAAUAUCCUUGAGGCAAAUACAACUUGAGAUACUCCGAAGAGUUUCCAUGGCCCUGCGGCCCUGCCUGUUCUUGAUCUUGGGAACAAGUACAAUAUAAAACAAGUCUGCUUGGCCAGCCUUACUGGAACUGACUGUUUAUUGGGGUG
rnacentral:lncRNA from 1 species